rnacentral:rRNA from 1 species
ACGUAGGUGGCAAGCGUUGUCCGGAAUUAUUGGGCGUAAAGCGCAUGUAGGCGGGCUUUUAAGUCGGUUGUGAAAAUGCGGGGCUCAACCCCGUGUGGCAUUGGAUACUCUAAGUCUUGAGUGCAGGAGAGGAAAGGGGAAUUCCCAGUGUAGCGGUGAAAUGCGUAGAUAUUGGGAGGAACACCAGUGGCGAAGGCGCCUUUCUGGACUGUAUCUGACGCUGAGAUGCGAAAGCUAGGGUAGCGAACGG